rnacentral:rRNA from 1 species
AAACUUAAAGGAAUUGACGGGGAGCACCACAACGGGUGGAGCUUGCGGUUUAAUUGGAUUCAACGCCGGAAAUCUUACCGGGACCGACAGCAAUAUGAAGGCCAGGCUGAAGACUUUGCCGGAUUAGCUGAGAGGUGGUGCAUGGCCGUCGUCAGUUCGUACUGUGAAGCAUCCUGUUAAGUCAGGCAACGAGCGAGACCCACGCCCACAGUUGCCAGCGUACUCUCUGGAGUGACGGGUACACUGUGGGGACCGCCGCUGCUAAAGCGGAGGAAGGAAUGGGCAACGGUAGGUCAGUAUGCCCCGAAUAUCCCGGGCUACACGCGAGCUACAAUGGUUGGUACAAUGGGUAUCUACCCCGAAAGGGGACGGGAAUCUCCUAAAACCAAUCUUAGUUCGGAUUGAGGGCUGCAACUCGCCCUCAUGAAGCUGGAAUCCGUAGUAAUCGCGUUUCAACAGAACGCGGUGAAUACGUCCCUGCUCCUU